rnacentral:rRNA from 1 species
UACGGAGGGGGCUAGCGUUGUUCGGAAUUACUGGGCGUAAAGCGCACGUAGGCGGCUUUGUAAGUUAGAGGUGAAAGCCCGGAGCUCAACUCCGGAAUUGCCUUUAAGACUGCAUCGCUUGAAUCAUGGAGAGGUGAGUGGGAUUCCGAGUGCAGAGGUGAAAUUCGUAGAUAUUCGGAAGAACACCAGUGGCGAAGGCGACUCACUGGACAUGUAUUGACGCUGAGGUGGCGAAAGCGUGGGGAGCAAACAGG